rnacentral:rRNA from 1 species
GAUGAACGCUGGCGGCGUGCCUAAUACAUGCAAGUCGAGCGAACUGAUUAGAAGCUUGCUUCUAUGACGUUAGCGGCGGACGGGUGAGUAACACGUGGGCAACCUGCCUGUAAGACUGGGACAACUUCGGGAAACCGAAGCUAAUACCGGAUAGGAUCUUCUCCUUCAUGGGAGCUGAUUGAAAGAUGGUUUCGGCUAUCACUUACAGAUGGGCCCGCGGUGCAUUAGCUAGUUGGUGAGGUAACGGCUCACCAAGGCAACGAUGCAUAGCCGACCUGAGAGGGUGAUCGGCCACACUGGGACUGAGACACGGCCCAGACUCCUACGGGAGGCAGCAGUAGGGAGUCUUCCGCAAUGGACGAAAGUCUGACGGAGCAACGCCGCGUGAGUGAUGAAGGCUUUCGGGUCGUAAAACUCUGUUGUUAGGGAAGAACAAGUACGAGAGUAACUGCUCGUACCUUGACGGUACCUAACCAGAAAGCCACGGCUAACUACGUGCCAGCAGCCGCAGUAAUAC